GACGAACGCUGGCGGCGUGCCUAAUACAUGCAAGUAGGACGCAGUUGCGAACGGGUGAGUAACGCGUAGGUAACUACCUAUUAGAGGGGGAUAACUAUUGGAAACGAUAGCUAAUACCGCAUACUAGUAGAUGGACCUGCGUUGUAUUAGCUAGUAGGUAGGGGAAUGGCCUACCUAGGCAACGAUACAUAGCCGACCUGGGGGGGUGAUCGGGCAAACUGGGAAUGGGAAACGGCCCAGGCGCCUACGGGAAGCAGCAGGAGGGAAUCUUCGGAAAAGGGGGGAAACCUGGACGAGCAAAGGCGGGUGGGUGAAGAAGGUUUUCGGAUCGUAAAGCUCUGUUGUGAAGGAAGCGGUACUUAACCAGGAAGGGACGGCUAACUACGUGCCAGCAGCCGCGGUAAUUC
rnacentral:rRNA from 1 species